GAUUGGGUCACCCAAGAGGUCGGUGAAGAGAGAGAGCUUCCCACUGGGACCAACCUCACAUCUUCUCUCCACUUCCUCAACACCCAAUCGAUCUCUGCUCGGAUCAAACUCUCUCACAACUAUCAUUCUUUCUUCCCCCAUAUUAAUAACACCCAACCACUUAAUUCACAACAGUCAAGCUUCUUCGCUUCUUGGUGCAGAAAAGGGUUAUACGUGUAUUUAUAGAGAUAGAAGGAGCUGGAGGUCGU
rnacentral:misc_RNA from 1 species